UGGGGAAUAUUGGACAAUGGGCGAAAGCCUGAUCCAGCCAUGCCGCAUGAGUGAAGAAGGCCUUUGGGUUGUAAAGCUCUUUUAGUGAGGAAGAUAAUGACGGUACUCACAGAAGAAGUCCUGGCUAACUCCGUGCCAGCAGCCGCGGUAAUACGGAGAGGGCUAGCGUUAUUCGGAAUUAUUGGGCGUAAAGGGCGCGUAGGCUGGUUAAUAAGUUAAAAGUGAAAUCCCGAGGCUUAACCUUGGAAUUGCUUUUAAAACUAUUAAUCUAAGGAUUGAAAGAGGAUAGAGGAAUUCCUGAUGUAGAGGUAAAAUUCGUAAAUAUUAGGAGGAACACCAGUGGCGAAGGCGUCUAUCUGGUUCAAAUCUGACGCUGAAGCGCGAAGGCGUGGGGAGCAAACA
rnacentral:rRNA from 1 species